AUGUCAACGCCAUCACGUCAAUGCUUAAUACGUCAAUGUCAUCACGUCAACGUCACUGUCUCAACACCCAUCAUGUCAAUGUCACCGUGUCAGCACCCAACAUGUCAACUCCAUCAUGACAACGUCACUGUGUCAACACCCAACAUGUCAACUCCAUCAUGUCAACACCCAACAUGUCAACUCCAUCAUGUCAAUAUCACUGUGUCAACACCCAACACGUCAACAUCACUGUGUCAACACCCAACACGUCAACGUCACUGUGUCAACACCCAACAUGCCAACUCCAUCACGUCAACGUCACUGUGUCACCACCCAACAUGUCAACAUCACCGUGUCACCACCCAACAUGUCAACUCCAUCAUGUCACCACUCCAUGUGUCAACACUAAACAUGUCAACUCUAUCACGUCAACAUCACUGUGUCAACACCCAACAUGUCAACUCCAUCAUGUCAACGUCACUGUGUCAACACCCAACAUGCCAACUCCAUCACGUCAACGUCACUGUGUCAACACCCAACAUGUCAACUCCAUCAUGUCAACGUCACCGUGUCAAGACCCAACAUGCCAACGGCAUCAUGUCAACACCCAACAUGCCAACUCCAUCAUGUCAGCACCCAACAUGCCAACGCCAUCACAUCACCACUCCACAUGCCAACACGCCCACCCUCCGUGCCCCACAUCUCAACCCUCAGCGACUCAACGCCCCCCCGUCAACGCUCCCGGCGGACCCCAACCCCCCAAAGACGUGUCCGGCCGGCCCCAAAUCGUGCUUUUUUCCCCCCAAAAAAACGACGGUCUCACCUCGAAGAGCAGCGUGAGGAGGAGGAUGCGG
rnacentral:lncRNA from 7 species